rnacentral:rRNA from 1 species
AUUGAACGCUGGCGGCAGGCUUAACACAUGCAAGUCGAGCGGAGUGAUGGUGCUUGCACGAUCACUUAGCGGCGGACGGGUGAGUAAUGCUUAGGAACCUGCCAUUUAGUGGGGGACAACAUUCCGAAAGGAAUGCUAAUACCGCAUACGUCCUACGGGAGAAAGCAGGGGAUCUUCGGACCUUGCGCUAAAUGAUGAGCCUAAGUCGGAUUAGCUAGUUGGUGGGGUAAAGGCCUACCAAGGCGACGAUCUGUAGCGGGUCUGAGAGGAUGAUCCGCCACACUGGGACUGAGACACGGCCCAGACUCCUACGGGAGGCAGCAGUGGGGAAUAUUGGACAAUGGGCGGAAGCCUGAUCCAGCCAUGCCGCGUGUGUGAAGAAGGCCUUUUGGUUGUAAAGCACUUUAAGCGAGGAGGAGGCUCUUCUAGUUAAUACCUAGGAUGAGUGGACGUUACUCGCAGAAUAAGCACCGGCUAACUCUGUGCCAGCCGCCGCCGUAAGAC